GGGGGCGUAAAGGUUUCGACGGGGAUUUGGAUCCACGGUAAGCGAGUAGCGGUGCGGGACCGCUAUAAAAUCCGCAACUUAAAAGUAAACGACAACACUCCUGUUGCGUUGGCGGCCUAAUUAGGCCCCCGUCCUGCCGAAGACUACCGCGACUUCGGUAAGGGCGUCGAUGAGCGGUGCACGUGAACGGAAAAGUGCCGCCUUUUCCGUCAUGACGUAGCGGCUACCGUAGUCAAUAGCCCGUUUUCCGGCGCUUGACGAGGGGAAUCUUAAACGGAAAACUGCACUCGGAGAAAGCCGUGGGGAUGGGUUUUCGGACGCGAGUUCGAUUCUCGCCGCCUCCACCA
rnacentral:tmRNA from 1 species